UGGGGAAUAUUGCACAAUGGGCGCAAGCCUGAUGCAGCCAUGCCGCGUGUGUGAAGAAGGCCUUCGGGUUGUAAAGCACUUUCAGCGAGGAGGAAGGUGGUGAGCUUAAUACGCUCAUCAAUUGACGUUACUCGCAGAAGAAGCACCGGCUAACUCCGUGCCAGCAGCCGCGGUAAUACGGAGGGUGCAAGCGUUAAUCGGAAUUACUGGGCGUAAAGCGCACGCAGGCGGUUUGUUAAGUCAGNUGUGAAAUCCCCGGGCUCAACCUGGGAACUGCAUUUGAAACUGGCAAGCUAGAGUCUCGUAGAGGGGGUAGAAUUCCAGGUGUAGCGGUGAAAUGCGUAGAGAUCGUGGAGGAAUACCGGUGGCGAAGGCGGCCCCCUGGACGAAGACUGACGCUCA
rnacentral:rRNA from 1 species